rnacentral:rRNA from 1 species
UACGUAGGGUGCGAGCGUUAAUCGGAAUUACUGGGCGUAAAGCGUGCGUAGGCGGUUCUCCAAGUCCGUUGUGAAAGCCCCCGGCUCAACUGGGGAGGGUCACUCGAUACUGAUCGACUCGAAGGCAGGAGAGGGAAGUGGAAUUCCCGGUGUAGUGGUGAAAUGCGUAGAUAUCGGGAGGAACACCAGUGGCGAAGGCGACUCACUGGCCCGGUACUGACGCUGAGGUGCGAAAGCGUGGGGAGCAAACAGG